AAGCACUGGGAUGAGCUUUGGGGGUCCAUUCGAAGGGAGAAAGGAGGUAUAACAUGAGGAAGGGGCAGCAAUAUCAUGAUGAGGAAACCCACAGAGACAGCUGAUCCCAGCCAGAAUGAGUUCGUGGGAGCUCAAGGACUCUAGAAUGUCAACAACGGAGCCUACAUGGAACUGACCUAGGCCUCUGCAUCAUUGCUCUGCACCGUGAUUAUGGCCAAUGUGAAGCUUCAGCAACUCAGCUCCGGACAGGACUCCAAAUGACCAGACUUUAAAAAUGAUGGGUUGUGUCACCCUAUCAGCCAUGAGAAUUUCAGUUUCUUCAAUUUUAAACUUCAGGAUGCACCGAAGCAAAUACUCAGUUUUUCAGGAACGAUUAAUAUGUUAUGACAUCAGAUUCCACGGUUCUGAGCCCUUGAGACUUGGACAGCAAGGAAAAAAGACCAACUAUAAGGAUGAUGUUAUUUCAAAGACACCAAGUAACUUCACUCAAAUUGUUGUUGGGAAUCAGAGAAAACUGGAUGUCUAGAGAAAUCUCAUGAAUGGAUACAUGGAUUUAUGAGCCUGAAUUUGAUCUUCCACAAGAAAAGAAACCUACUGAUUAAGCAAUCCUGGCUGUUCAGAGAGACCAACAGUCUCUGUCUCAUCAUCCACCCUGGGCUUUGGAUGUUCACCACCUCUUCUUAUAUGACGCUUGUACGUGUGCGGCAUAAGUUACUGUGCUCCACGGUGGUCCAAGGACAACUUCAAGUUUGGGUUCUCACCUUCCACCUUUCUGAGACAUGGUCAUUCUGCUGUUUGCCUCAGUGAAUAGCAGGCUUAGCCACCUGUGAGCUUCGUGGGUUCUCCCAUCUUCACCUGCCAUUUCACCACGGAAGCACUGAGA